rnacentral:rRNA from 1 species
CCUACGGGAGGCAGCAGUGGGGAAUUGUUCGCAAUGGGCGCAAGCCUGACGACGCAACGCCGCGUGGAGGAUGAAGACCUUCGGGUCGUAAACUCCUUUCGAUCGAGACGAAUGUUUUCCGGGUGAACAAUCCGGAAAAGUGACGGUACCGAGAGAAGAAGCCCCGGCUAACUCUGUGCCAGCAGCCGCGGUAAUACAGGGGGGGCAAGCGUUGUUCGGAAUUACUGGGCGUAAAGGGCUUGUAGGUGGCCAACUAAGUCAGACGUGAAAUCCCUCAGCUUAACUGGGGAACUGCGUCUGAUACUGGAUGGCUUGAGUUUGGGAGAGGGAUGCGGAAUUCCAGGUGUAGCGGUGAAAUGCGUAGAUAUCUGGAGGAACACCGGUGGCGAAGGCGGCAUCCUGGACCAACACUGACACUGAGGAGCGAAAGCCAGGGGAGCAAACGGGAUUAGAUACCCCGGUAGUCCUGGCCCUAAACGAUGAAUGCUUGGUGUGGCGGGUAUCGAUCCCUGCCGUGCCGAAGCUAACGCAUUAAGCAUUCCGCCUGGGGAUACGGUGCAAGGCUGAAACUUCAAAUGAAUUGACGGNNGNGNGNGCGAGCGACGACGAGGAGAGG